rfam:Aedes aegypti strain Liverpool supercont1.37 genomic scaffold, whole genome shotgun sequence.
CAAUCGGCCCUUUUCAAGGCCACUAAUGUGUACUAAAGAGUUAUUU